UCUCUCUCUUUCUCUCACCCUUCCCACUGCUCCUUUCUUCUCUAAGCCCCCACCUUUCUGACAGAACAGGUAAUCUCCCCUCUGAAACAAUCUUUUCUACUGCUGCAAGACGCUGUCAUAUAAGGUAGCAGUGAAGGACUGUAAGAGGAUCCCCACUAAAGUAAAAACAUCACAUUUUACAAAAAGAUGAUGUCUAUGUAUUUUAUUUGUGCUUCUGUUUGUUUAUGUGUGUCUUCAUGUGGGCCUAUGUGUGAAUGUGUGCACAUUUGUUGCUUGUGUGUGUGUGUUUAUGUAUCCACAGUCUCUUCUAUGGAUUUGCUACUGCAUCCAGAGACCAGAGCUGAGCUUCUCAAAUAUUCCUGUCAGCUCUCACUGGACCCAAACACAGCACAGAGACAGCUCUCUCUGUCUGAGGAGGACAGGGCAGUGACGUGUUCAAGUGGGGCAAGGGUGCCAUGUUCUGACCAUCCAGAUAGAUUCACCUUUUUCAACCAGGUGCUGUGUAGAGAGGCUCUGUCUGGGCGCUGUUACUGGGAGAUGGAAUGGAGAGGUGGCAAGGUUUUUAUAGGAGUCUCCUAUGAAGACAUAAGCAGAACAGACACUUUUCUUGGUAACGAUGACAUGUCCUGGAUUAUACAAUGCUAUAAUGAACGUUAUUAUUUCAAUCAUAACCAUCUUAUAACUUUAGUAUCAGGCCCUCAGUCCUCCAGAGUAGGAGUGUACCUGGAUCACAAGGCAGGUACUCUGUCCUUCUACAGUGUCGUCUCUGACACAGUGACCCUCCUCCACAGAGUCCAGACCACCUUCACCCAGCCACUCUACCCUGGGAUUUACCUCGGUCGGUAUGGUGACAGUGCAGAGAUGAUUAAACUGUGGUAGAGGAUCUCAUGCAUGAGUCUAUCCGCUUUUGAACGGUCCAUUUCCCAACUCGUCAACGUUUUGACGUGCUCCCUCUGUCAGGGGGAGUUCAGCAGGGUAAACCCAAGCGCAGAGACAUAAGCUGGUAAGGCAGGAUCACCAAAGCAAAAGGUAUUUAAGUUCCACAAACGGGUACACGGCGGGAAAAGUCACACAUCAUACGACAAGGAGCCGACAAGGACUGCCAAGAGGAGUACAGAGGGCAGGAUAAUCACACAUGGACAAUAGCCGAGCGAAGGGAACAGACAGGAGGUCCAGAGAGCCAGGUGGCUGAGCGGUUAGGGAGUCGGGCCAGUAAUCUGAAGGUUGCCGGUUCGGUUCCCGGCCCUUGCCAAAUG